rnacentral:tRNA from 1 species
GGUGGCCAUAGCUCAGUGGUAGAGCAUCUGAAGGUCCCAGAUUCAACCCCUGAUGGCAUCU